UGAAGCACAAUGAAGAAAUGAGGGGAAGAUUACUAUCUUCAAAGAAGAGAACUGGAGGGCUGGUUCAAAUAGUCGAGUGUAGUGGAGACUACUGGAAGGAUUGGGAUUAGAGAAAUCUUUAUAUUGUGUAAUCUUUUGUACUGUUUGAAAUCUGAACCUUAUGAAUAAAUAACACUC